GGGGCGGUAGCUCAGCUGGGAGAGCGCUUCAAUGGCAUUGAAGAGGUCCGGGGUUCGAUCCCCCGUCGCUCCACCA
rnacentral:tRNA from 1 species